CCUACGGGUGGCAGCAGUGAGGAAUAUUGGUCAAUGGACGAGAGUCUGAACCAGCCAAGUAGCGUGAAGGAUGACUGCCCUAUGGGUUGUAAACUUCUUUUAUAUGGGAAUAAAAUGUUCCACGUGUGGGAUUUUGUAUGUACCAUAUGAAUAAGGAUCGGCUAACUCCGUGCCAGCAGCCGCGGUAAUACGGAGGAUCCGAGCGUUAUCCGGAUUUAUUGGGUUUAAAGGGAGCGUAGGUGGAUUGUUAAGUCAGAUGUGAAAGUUUGCGGCUCAACCGUAAAAUUGCAGUUGAAACUGGCAGUCUUGAGUACAGUAGAGGUGGGCGGAAUUCGUGGUGUAGCGGUGAAAUGCUUAGAUAUCACGAAGAACUCCGAUUGCGAAGGCAGUUCACUGGACUGCAACUGACACUGAGGCUCGAAAGUGUGGGUAUCAAACAGGAUUAGAUACCCGAGUAGUC
rnacentral:rRNA from 1 species